CACGUAGGGCGCGAGCGUUGUCCGGAAUUAUUGGGCGUAAAGAGCUCGUAGGCGGCCUGUUGCGUCCGCUGUGAAAGCCCGGGGCUUAACCCCGGGUCGGCAGUGGAUACGGGCAGGCUAGAGGUAGGCAGGGGAGAAUGGAAUUCCCGGUGUAGCGGUGAAAUGCGCAGAUAUCGGGAGGAACACCGGUGGCGAAGGCGGUUCUCUGGGCCUGACCUGACGCUGAGGAGCGAAAGCGUGGGGAGCGAACAGG
rnacentral:rRNA from 1 species